CACGAAGUGCCGGGGAGGAGGAACUCCCACAGAAUCCGGGAAGGUCUGUCCUCCAGAGCGAAGGCGGCACGCGGGGUCCGGAUGAGAUGGAGGGACGAGAGGGGUGCCAGGCCCGCCUUUAGAUGCUUCCGGUAACAAGCCCCCGAUGGACGUUGCUGGGAGCGCAGGCAUCCUGGCUCAGAGGGCCCAGCUUCUCCAGCGAAGUCCAAGUUCUUAGGUGGUGUCAGCUCCUCCUGAGCGAGCACAAGAGCCAGCCCUUGAUCGGAGCCUUUCAGAAAAUAACGUCAGCUGAGAAAAACAAGCUAUUCACCUCUGCGACCUGCUGACUCUCCAAAGACUGACAUCAUCCCGUUCCUAAGAAGGGCUUUUAAAGACUCCUGGCAAAGGAAAUCGCUCUGACUCCGUGCAAUCCCUCUGCUCACGGCGUAUCCUGAACACCAGGAGACAGCUGGGACACAUCCACUCCCCCGCUCGAACCUUCCGGCCGGUUUGACGUUGAAGCCGGAGACGUGAAGGUUGGGGUCUGACUGACUGACUGGCUGUCGGUCUGAGUCAGACCCUCCGGCACCCGCGGUGAGGCACCGAGGGCGGGCUGCCCCUGGGAGCCGCUCCAGUGAGCAGACGUCC